ACCUACCUGGCUCAGCUGGAAGAGCAUACGACUCUUGAUCUCAGGGUUGUGGGUUCAAGCCCUAUGUUGGGUA
rnacentral:tRNA from 1 species